rnacentral:rRNA from 1 species
UACGUAGGGGGCAAGCGUUGUCCGGAUUUAUUGGGCGUAAAGAGCGUGUAGGCGGCCAGGCAGGUCCGUUGUGAAAACUCGAGGCUCAACCUCGAGACGUCGGUUGAAACCGUAAGGCUAGAGUCCGGAAGAGGAGAGUGGAAUUCCCGGUGUAGCGGUGAAAUGCGCAGAUAUCGGGAAGAACACCCGUGGCUAAGGCGGCUCUCUGGUACGGUACUGACGCUGAGACGCGAAAGCGUGGGGAGCGAACAGG